rnacentral:lncRNA from 1 species
AUGAUGCUCGUGGAUCAUGACUGUUCUGGGACUGAUGUUCGGUUGGUUCGUCAGCUCAACAAGGGUAUGAGGAUUCAACCAGGGAUAUGCAGCGGAGGGACCGAGCAGCAACGGGGAUGUAAAACCGGAGACGUCAAUGAAAAUAUUGUUUGUCUGCAAUCUCAGGAUGAAACGGGACGGGUGUGUCCUGGAAGCCCAGCACUGGCGACAGACACGCGGCUAUCCUCCUGUUCCACAGCAGACCGUGAACCAAGCAGUGGCAGUUACAACGUCUCCACUGGAACGGGAACCUUUUACAGCUGCGUCAGUCAGAUCACCAUCGGUAAUUGUACUUUACAGAAUGUCUUACUCUAUAUCCAAAAGAGAGCGCAAGGGGAGGCCAGAUUUGGUUUGGCGGGAAAAAGUCACACUGAAACUUUCAGAAAUGUUUGGAAAAUAGACCCUGUGUGAAAACGCUGACCAGGCCAAGAAAUUCGACUUAAAAAAAAAAUGAGUAUAUCCUUUAUCAGGUAGAAGUAGACCAGAUCCAAUAUCAUGCAUCUUUUACACCUGCACAUGAACAAUUCCUCAGGUGCUGUAUGUGGAGUUCUUGACAAAUGAAAUUGAAAUAGAGUAGCCUAGAUAAAAAGCUAAUGUUUAAUGGAUGCAUGGAUGAGUUUUUGACCAGGCACAAGUCAUCCACAGAUUGAUCAUUCUAAAUGUAGCACACAUGCUUUACCUUGAGCCUCCUCUAGUCUUCAGAAAAUGACAAAUCAAUAGCCUUUCUCAAUAAACUGCCUUCAGAGGAGUCAAUAUACCCCCUGGAUGAGUGUGAUUUUAAAAUCUUUCCCCAUUGUUUGGCCAGGAUAGGGUACUCUGCAUCACUAUGGGUCCCCUAAGUGCUAAUGGGCGAUCAGUCUCCCCUAAUUCAACUCUAUUGCUUUGCUGUAGUCUUUACUCUAGUAAGUGCUGUUGAAUAUUGGAAAUGAAUAAGCAUAUUAUAACCAUGGAGAAUUCCUGGAUUACAAGCAAAUGGUGUUCUAAAGUGAUGAGUUACAUCUAAUAAAAUGUAUUGAAUUGAUUUAUUGAUGCAGAAUAUUCGCCUGGUCAAACAUACUGAUUGCUGCACUCACCAUUGUUUGAAUUCACUUAUUGACCAGGCUAGCUGAUCACAGCCCAUGAUGAAUCCAGAUACAAUUCCAUUUUACUGUAAACAAAUUGACCAGACUUUCAGCACGCUUAUAGGGAACAACAAGCACUAGCACAAAUGACUGAGGAUUGGCUGAGAGAAAUUGAUAAUAAAAAGAUUGUGGGAGCUGUUUUGUUAGACUUCAGUGCUGCGUUUGACGUUAUCGAUCAUAGUCUGCUGCCGGAAAAACACGUGUUAUGACUUUACACCCCCGACUCUGCACUAUACACGCCAGCUACUACAGCGAGUGAAAUCACUGCAACACUAAACAAAGAGCUGCAGUUAGUUUCAGAAUGGUUGACAAGGAAUAAGUUAGUCCUAAGUAUUUCAAAAACUAAAAGCAUUGUAUUUGGGACAAAUCAUUCACUAAACCCUAAACCUCAACCAAAUCUUGUAAUGAAUAAUGUGGAAAUUGAGCAAGUUGAGAUGACUAAACUGCUUGGAGUUACCCUGGAUUGUAAACUGUCAUGGUCAAAACAUGUUGAUAAAACAGUAGCUAAGAUGGGGAGAAGUCUGUCCAUAAUAAAGCGCUGAUCUGCCUUUUUAACAACACUAUCAACAAGGCAGGUCCUACAGGCCCUAGUUUGGUCGACCUGGACUACUGUUCAGUCGUGUGAUCAGUUGCCACAAAGAGGGACCUCGGAAAAUGACAAUUGGCUCAGAACAGGGCCCUUAAAUGUACACAGAGAGCUAACAUUAAUAAUAUCCAUGACAUGCUGAAUGCACUGAGGUGAGGUGUCUGUUUAAACUACUAGCACACAGCUGAGACACACGUGCCUACCCCAAAAGACAUGCCACCAGAGGUCUCUUCACAGUACCCAAGUCAAGAACAGACUAUGGGAGGUGCACAGUACUAUGUAGAGCCAUGGCUACAUGGAACUCUAUUCCACAUCAGGUACAGCGCAUUCGGAAAGUAUUCAGACCCCUUGACUUUUUCCACAUUUUUGUUAAAUUACAGCCUUAUUCUGAAAUUGAUUAAAUAGUUUUUCCCCCUAUCAAUUUACACAAAAUACCCCAUAAUGACAAAGCAAAAAACACUUUCCUUUUUGGGGGACAUUUUUUUUUUUUUUUAAAACAUGUUUUUUUAAUGGUAUCACAUUUACAUAAGUAUUCAGACCCUAUACUCAGUACUUUGUUGAAGCACGCUUGUCAGCGAUAACAUCAUUGAGUCUUGGAUAUGACGCUACAAGCUUGGCACAACUGUAUUUGGGGAGUUUCUCCCAUUCUUCUCUGCAGAUCCUCUCAAGCUCUGUCAGGUUGGAUGAGGAGCAUCGCUGCACAGCUAUUUUCAGGUUUCUCCAGAGAUGUUAGAUCGGGUUCAAAUCUGGGCUGUGGCUGGGCCACUCAAGGACAUUCAGAGACUUGUCCCGUAGCCACUCCUGCAUUGUCUUGGCUGUGUGCUUAGGGUCGUUGUCCUGUUGGAAGGUGAACCUUCACCCCAGAGGUCCUGAGCGCUCUGGAGCAGGUUUUCUUCAAGGAUUUCUCUGUACUUUGCUCCGUUCAUCUUUCCCUCGAUCCUGACUAGUGCCCCAGUUCAUGCCGCUGAAAAACAUUCCCACAGCAUGAUGCUGCUACCACCAUGCUUCACCGAUCGGGAUGGUGCCAGAUUUCCUCCAGACGUGUCGCUUGGCAGUCAGGCCAAAGAGUUCAAUCUUGGUUUCAUCAGACCAGAGAAUCUUGUUUUUCAUGGUCUGAGAGUCCUUUAGGUGUGUUUUGCCAAACUCCAAGCAAGCUGUCAUGUGCCUAUUACUGAGGAGUGGCUUCCGUCUGGCCACUCUACCAUAAGGGCCUGAUUGAUGGAGUGCUGUAGAGAUGGUUGUCCUUCUCUGGAAGGUUCUCCCAUCUCCACAGAGGAACUCUGAAGCUCUGUCAGAGUGACCAUCGGGUUCUUGGUCACCUACCAGACCAAGGCCCUUCUUCCCUGAUUGCUCAGUUUGGCUGGCGGCCAGCUCUAGGAAGAGUCUUGGUGGUUCCAAACUUCUUCCAUUUAAGAAUGAUGGAGGACACUGUGUUCUGUUUUGCUAGCACAGACUGGAAUAUGUUCCGUGAUUCUUUCAAUGACAUUGAGGAGUACACCACAUGAGUGCAUCGAGGUCGUCGUCUCCACAGUGACUGUACGUACAUACCCCAAUCAGAAACCAUGGAUUACAGUUAACAAACGCACUGAGCUAAAGGGUAGAGCUUCCGCUUUCAAGGAGUGGGACUCUAACCCAGAAGCUCAUAAGAAAUCCGGCUAUGCCCUCAGAUGAACCAUCAAACGGGCAAAGCGUCAAUACAGGACUAAGAUCGAAUUGUACUACACCGGCUCAGACGCUCGUUGGAUGUAGCAGGACCUGCAAACUAUUACAGACUACAAAGCGAAGCACAGCCGAGAGCUUGCCAAUGACACGAGCCUACCAGAUGAGCUAAAUAACUUCUAUGCUUGCUUCAAGGCAAGUAACACUGAAAUAUGCAUGAGAGCAUCAGCUGUUCCGGACGACUGUGUGAUCACACUUUCCGCAGCCAAUGUGAGUAAGACCUUUAAACAGGUUUACAUUCACAAGGCUGCAGGGCCAGACGGAUUACCAGGACGUAUACUCCGAGCAAUGCGCUGACCAACUGGCAAGUGUCUUCACUGACAUUUUAAACCUCUCCCUGUCGGAGUCUGUAAUACCAACAUGUUUCAAGCGGACCACCAUAGACCCUGUGCCCAAAAACACUAAGGUAACCUGCCUAAAUGACUACCGACCCGUAGCAUUCAUGUCUGUAGCCAUGAAAUGCGUUGAAAGGCUGGUCAAUGCUCACAUCAACGCCUUUAUCCCAGAAACCCUCCACUCCAAUUUGCAUACCGCACCAACAGAUUCAUAGAAGAUGCAAUCUCUGUUGAACUCCACACUGCCCUUUCACACCUGGACA